rnacentral:rRNA from 1 species
UCGAUUCCCUUAGUAGCGGCGAGCGAAACGGGAAGAGCCCAAACCAACAAGCUUGCUUGUUGGGGUUGUAGGACACUCUAUACGGAGUUACAAAGGACGACAUUAGACGAAUCAUCUGGAAAGAUGAAUCAAAGAAGGUAAUAAUCCUGUAGUCGAAAAUGUUGUCUCUCUUGAGUGGAUCCUGAGUACGACGGAGCACGUGAAAUUCCGUCGGAAUCUGGGAGGACCAUCUCCUAAGGCUAAAUACUCUCUAGUGACCGAUAGUGAACCAGUACCGUGAGGGAAAGGUGAAAAGCACCCCGGAAGGGGAGUGAAAUAGAACCUGAAACCGUGUGCUUACAAGUAGUCAGAGCCCGUUAAUGGGUGAUGGCGUGCCUUUUGUAGAAUGAACCGGCGAGUUACGAUUUGAUGCAAGGUUAAGCAGUAAAUGUGGAGCCGUAGCGAAAGCGAGUCUGAAUAGGGCGUUUAGUAUUUGGUCGUAGACCCGAAACCAGGUGAUCUACCCUUGGUCAGGUUGAAGUUCAGGUAACACUGAAUGGAGGACCGAACCGACUUACGUUGAAAAGUGAGCGGAUGAACUGAGGGUAGCGGAGAAAUUCCAAUCGAACCUGGAGAUAGCUGGUUCUCUCCGAAAUAGCUUUAGGGCUAGCCUCAAGUGAUGAUUAUUGGAGGUAGAGCACUGUUUGGACGAGGGGCCCCUCUCGGGUUACCGAAUUCAGACAAACUCCGAAUGCCAAUUAAUUUAACUUGGGAGUCAGAACAUGGGUGAUAAGGUCCGUGUUCGAAAGGGAAACAGCCCAGACCACCAGCUAAGGUCCCAAAAUAUAUGUUAAGUGGAAAAGGAUGUGGCGUUGCCCAGACAACUAGGAUGUUGGCUUAGAAGCAGCCAUCAUUUAAAGAGUGCGUAAUAGCUCACUAGUCGAGUGACACUGCGCCGAAAAUGUACCGGGGCUAAACAUAUUACCGAAGCUGUGGAUUGUCCUUUGGACAAUGGUAGGAGAGCGUUCUAAGGGCGUUGAAGCAUGAUCGUAAGGACAUGUGGAGCGCUUAGAAGUGAGAAUGCCGGUGUGAGUAGCGAAAGACGGGUGAGAAUCCCGUCCACCGAUUGACUAAGGUUUCCAGAGGAAGGCUCGUCCGCUCUGGGUUAGUCGGGUCCUAAGCUGAGGCCGACAGGCGUAGGCGAUGGAUAACAGGUUGAUAUUCCUGUACCACCUAUAAUCGUUUUAAUCGAUGGGGGGACGCAGUAGGAUAGGCGAAGCGUGCGAUUGGAUUGCACGUCUAAGCAGUAAGGCUGAGUAUUAGGCAAAUCCGGUACUCGUUAAGGCUGAGCUGUGAUGGGGAGAAGACAUUGUGUCUUCGAGUCGUUGAUUUCACACUGCCGAGAAAAGCCUCUAGAUAGAAAAUAGGUGCCCGUACCGCAAACCGACACAGGUAGUCAAGAUGAGAAU